AUACUUUUCUAGGCCUUUUGGUUGAGGUCAAGUGUAGUAUCGGUUCUUAUCACUUUGAUAUUUGAUAUGUAGACUUUUAAGUCUACACAAUAUGAAAUUAAUUUUUUUUGUCAAGAAGAAUUCCCUUUGUGUCGCCUUAGUGUUGCACUACAACUAGGGCUCGGUGCACCCCAA
rnacentral:snRNA from 1 species